rnacentral:ncRNA from 1 species
GAAAAUGCAUGGAUGGGGAAAUGUUGGAUGGAAUUGCCCGUUUCAGAGAGUCGCCGGCUGCUGGAAGGCGAUACGGACGCCAUGACAAUCUCACCCCUGAGCAGCUUUCCUGAACAUGCCGCUGGCGGAUAUAACAUCUGCGGUGUUUAUAGGGAAAGACGGUUUCUUACCGUUAAAAAAGAUGCUGUUAAAGAGACCAUACGGCCUGAGACAGCAAAAAAGAGGCUGUGUUUAUAUAAACAUGGCAAGGCAGGGUGGUACCGCGGAAUUAUUUCGUCUCUGCA